rnacentral:rRNA from 1 species
CCUACGGGAGGCAGCAGUGGGGAAUAUUGCACAAUGGGGGAAACCCUGAUGCAGCGACGCCGCGUGAGUGAAGAAGUUUUUCGGUAUGUAAAGCUCUAUCAGCAGGGAAGAAAAUGACCGUUCCUGAUUAAGAAGCCCCGGCUAAAUACGUGCCAGCAGCCGCGGUAAAACGUUGGGGGCAAGCGUUAUCCGGAUUUACUGUGUGUAAAGGGAGCGUAGAUGGUUAUGUAUGUCUGGAGGGAAAGCCCGGGGCCCAAACCCGGGACUGCUGUGGAAACUGUGUAACUGGAGUACAGGAGGGGCAGGCGGAAUUCCUGGUGUAGCGGUGAAAUGCGUAGAUAUCAGGAGGAACACCGGCGGCGAAGGCAGCCUGCUGGACUGAAACUGACGUUGAGGCUCGAAAGCGUGGGGAGCAAACAGGAUUAGAUACCCGAGUAGUC